GGCUCCUAGAAAAAAAAAUCACACACUAAAACUCCCUCUCAGACAGACCACACACAAAAAAAAACACCAUCACACACACUCACACAAAAAGAAAAGCUCUCUCCCGGCUUCCCCCCUGCUCCUACUCUCCCACAAAUCAAAUAGAAAAAAAUAAAACAAGAAAAGGGAAAAGACAAAGUCAGAGGAGGAAGAAAAGGAAAUCGCUAGUGGCUUAGGCCAACACCACUGCUUUCUCUGGAAAUCACCAUUAGUCACCAUAAUUGAUUAACCUCGCCACCAUAAAGCCUCGGUGAAGUUCUUUCUCCCAUUUACAGCUUUGAUUAAGAGUUUAUGCUAGAACUUCCAUUGGCCUAUGUUUUCAUUUCCUUUGUUUGCUCAUUCAAUUGGAGAGUUUUCACAUUAACAUUGAUUUUUCUUUCUCUUCCUUGCAAUGAAUAUGUCAGCCAUUAGUAAACUUUUGGCCUGAAAUCACAAUGAGUAUUUUGGUAUAACUUUUAUAAUUUUUGGGGAAGGUUUGAAUGAUUUUAGAAAAGAUAAUAACUGGCUGUGGUUUGCUCCUUUGAGCGCUUUCCGUGCAUUUUUGUGAAAAAACCAAACCUAAAAACGGAUUUUACGCGAAAAAUCGAGUAGAGAGGUGUAUUUUGAUGAAUUUUGUGACCGAAAGUAUUGCCAACGAUCAGAAGCCGACGACGGCACUAGUGUCUGCCAUGGCUGCCGACAACUAGAGCUUUCAGUCCAUUGGAGAAGAAAAAGAGAGAAAGGAAGAAGAAGACGAAAAAGAAGAGAAAGAAAAGAGAAUGGGCAUGUUUCUUUUAUUUUCAUAUGGACUGAAAUUCUUUUUUGUUGGUUGGGCUUGUACUAUUUUUUCUUGGAUUUGCAACAUUGAGUUUUGAGACUUAAGCUCAUUUUUUAAUUAGGUUGAAUUGUAAAAAUGGUUUGGGUCGGGUUGUCUUUUAAAUAAGAUGAUUUUGCUUAAUUUUCUUGGGCUGAAGUGACCAGCCCAAAUACCUAAAAAUGACCCAAUAUAUGUUUAUGCAAUCAGAAUCUGAAUUUUGCAACUUGAUCCCUGAUCUUUUUGAGUAUUUUUAUUGUGGCCCUAAAUCUUUUGAUUUCUUUCACCUAGAUCCUUAAUUUAAUUACAUUUUGGUCCCUAAACUUUAUUUUUCUUUUGAUUUUGACCCCUAAUCACUUUAAAAUUAUGAUUUGAUCCCAAACUUCUCAAUUUUUACAAUUAGGUCCCUAAUUUUCAUUAUUUCAUAAUUACAAUUAUUUAUCUUCUUUAAAUUGCAAAUCAUGC
rnacentral:lncRNA from 1 species